UACGUAGGGUGCAAGCGUUGAUCGGAAUUACUGGGCGUAAAGCGUGCGCAGGCGGCCUUGCAAGACAGAUGUGAAAUCCCCGGGCUUAACCUGGGAAUGGCAUUUGGGACUGCAAGGCUGGAGUGCGGCAGAGGAGACUGGAAUUCCUGGUGUAGCAGUGAAAUGCGUAGAUAUCAGGAGGAACACCGAUGGCGAAGGCAGGUCUCUGGGCUGACACUGACGCUCAUGCACGAAAGCGUGGGGAGCAAACAGG
rnacentral:rRNA from 1 species